rnacentral:rRNA from 1 species
CCUACGGGCGGCUGCAGUGAGGAAUAUUGGUCAAUGGCCGGAAGGCUGAACCAGCCAUGCCGCGUGAAGGUCAGUGCCCUAUGGGCGUUAAACUUCUUUUGUGCGGGAGCAAUAAUGGUCACGUGUGGCCAGACGAGAGUACCGUACGAAUAAGCAUCGGCUAACCCCGUGCCAGCAGCCGCGGUAAUACGGGGGAUGCAAGCGUUAUCCGGAUUUAUUGGGUUUAAAGGGUGCCUAGGCUGUGAGGUAAGUCAGCGGUGAAAUGCCCCCGGUCAACGGGGUGAAGUGCCAUUGAUACUGGCUUGCUGGAAUGCGGAUGACGUAGGAGGAAUGUGUGGUGUAGCGGUGAAAUGCAUAGAUAUCACGCAGAACACCGAUUGCGAAGGCAGCUCACGAAACCGCGAUUGACGCUGAUGCACGAAAGCGUGGGUAUCAAACAGGAUUAGAUACCCGUGUAGUC